AGUGAACGCUGGCGGUAGGCCUAACACAUGCAAGUCGAACGGCAGCACAGUAAGAGCUUGCUCUUACGGGUGGCGAGUGGCGGACGGGUGAGGAAUACAUCGGAAUCUACUUUUUCGUGGGGGAUAACGUAGGGAAACUUACGCUAAUACCGCAUACGACCUACGGGUGAAAGCAGGGGAUCUUCGGACCUUGCGCGAUUGAAUGAGCCGAUGUCGGAUUAGCUAGUUGGCGGGGUAAAGGCCCACCAAGGCGACGAUCCGUAGCUGGUCUGAGAGGAUGGUCAGCCACCCUGGAGCUGAGACACGGUCCAGACUCCUGCGAUAGGCAGCAGUGGGGAAUAUUGGACAAUGGUCGCAAGCCUGAUCCAGCCAUACCGCGUGGGUGAAGAAGGCCUUCGGGUUGUAAAGCCCUUUUGUUGGGAAAGAAAAGCAGCAGGUUAAUACCCCGCUGUUCUGACGGUACCCAAAGAAUAAGCACCGGCUAACUUCGUG
rnacentral:rRNA from 1 species